AGAGAUGGAUUGGUGCCUUCGGGAACUCUGACACAGGUGCUGCAUGGCUGUCGUCAGCUCGUGUCGUGAGAUGUUGGGUUAAGUCCCGUAACGAGCGCAACCCUUGUCCUUAGUUACCAGCACGUUAAGGUGGGCACUCUAAGGAGACUGCCGGUGACAACGGAGGAAGGUGGGGAUGACGUCAAGUCAGCAUGGCCUUUAUAUCCUGGGCUACACACACGCUACAAUGGCCAACACAAUAGGUUGCUAAGCCGCGAGGUGGAGCCAAUCCAUAAAGUUGGUCUCAGUUCAGAUUGUAGGCUGCAACCCGCCUGCAUGAAGAUGGAGUUGCUAGUAACCGCAGGUCAGCUAUACUGCGGUGAAUACGUUCCCGGGGCUU
rnacentral:rRNA from 1 species